rnacentral:rRNA from 1 species
CCUACGGGUGGCAGCAGUGAGGAAUAUUGGUCAAUGGACGAGAGUCUGAACCAGCCAAGUAGCGUGAAGGAUGACUGCCCUAUGGGUUGUAAACUUCUUUUAUAUGGGAAUAAAAUGUUCCACUUGUGGGAUUUUGUAUGUACCAUAUGAAUAAGGAUCGGCUAACUCCGUGCCAGCAGCCGCGGUAAUACGGAGGAUCCGAGCGUUAUCCGGAUUUAUUGGGUUUAAAGGGAGCGUAGGUGGACUGUUAAGUCAGUUGUGAAAGUUUGGGGCUCAACCGUAAAAUUGCAGUUGAAACUGGCAGUCUUGAGUACAGGAGAGGUGGGCGGAAUUCGUGGUGUAGCGGUGAAAUGCUUAGAUAUCACGAAGAACUCCGAUUGCGAAGGCAGUUCACUGGACUGCAACUGACGCUGAGGCUCGAAAGUGUGGGUAUCAAACAGGAUUAGAUACCCGGGUAGUC